AGGCCCUUCGGGGUACUCGAGUGGCGAACGGGUGAGUAACACGUAGGUGAUCUGCCCUGCACUUUGGGAUAAGCCUGGGAAACUGGGUCUAAUACCGAAUAUGACCGCGCACUUCCUGGUGUGUGGUGGAAAGCUUUUGCGGUGUGGGAUGGGCCCGCGGCCUAUCAGCUUGUUGGUGGGGUAAUGGCCUACCAAGGCGACGACGGGUAGCCGGCCUGAGAGGGUGACCGGCCACACUGGGACUGAGAUACGGCCCAGACUCCUACGGGAGGCAGCAGUGGGGAAUAUUGCACAAUGGGCGCAAGCCUGAUGCAGCGACGCCGCGUGAGGGAUGACGGCCUUCGGGUUGUAAACCUCUUUCAAUAGGGACGAAGCGCAAGUGACGGUACCUAUAGAAGAAGGACCGGCCAACUACGUGCCAGCAGCCGCGGUAAUACGUAGGGUCCGAGCGUUGUCCGGAAUUACUGGGCGUAAAGAGCUCGUAGGUGGUUUGUCGCGUUGUUCGUGAAAACUCACAGCUUAACUGUGGGCGUGCGGGCGAUACGGGCAGACUAGAGUACUGCAGGGGAGACUGGAAUUCCUGGUGUAGCGGUGGAAUGCGCAGAUAUCAGGAGGAACACCGGUGGCGAAGGCGGGUCUCUGGGCAGUAACUGACGCUGAGGAGCGAAAGCGUGGGGAGCGAACAGGAUUAGAUACCCUGGUAGUCCACGCCGUAAACGGUGGGUACUAGGUGUGGGUUUCCUUCCUUGGGAUCCGUGCCGUAGCUAACGCAUUAAGUACCCCGCCUGGGGAGUACGGCCGCAAGGCUAAAACUCAAAGAAAUUGACGGGGGCCCGCACAAGCGGCGGAGCAUGUGGAUUAAUUCGAUGCAACGCGAAGAACCUUACCUGGGUUUGACAUGCACAGGACGCCAGUAGAGAUAUUGGUUCCCUUGUGGCCUGUGUGCAGGUGGUGCAUGGCUGUCGUCAGCUCGUGUCGUGAGAUGUUGGGUUAAGUCCCGCAACGAGCGCAACCC
rnacentral:rRNA from 1 species